GUCUCCCUAGUUGCCUGUCAACUGGAUGGUGUUUGCCCAACUGAUGUACAACAUAGUUGCCCAAUAAUUGUCUCACUAGUUUCCUGUUAACUAGAUGGUGUUUGCCCAACUGAUGUACUUCACAGUUUGCGUAACUGUUUGUCUCCCUAGUUGCUUGUCAACUCAAUGAUGUUUGCCCAACCGAUACACAGCAAUUUUGGAUGUGUAUUUUUCAAGGGGAAAGAACAAAUAGUCAUACCUGGUGGACAACAAUUUUGUGCAUAUGACUAUUUUUUGAGUCCAUUAUACAGCUUCGCGACAAUGGUCACCCCUGAUAUAGCCUUGCUGAGUAUGUUCUUCUCCAUAUACACAUGUUUGAUAAAAAAAAUCGCCUAAUAGUUGUCUAUUAGUUGCCUUUUUAUUUUUGCAUGGUGUUUGCCUAACUAGAAGGUCACCAACCUGCAUGUGUUUUUCUUGUCACACAUUGUAUAAUAGAUGUCCUUAAUAGAUUUUGCCUGUUUUUUUCAUUGUUUUUGGUUAAUGUAGAGGAUGCACUUGCCUGUGCAUUAGUUUAACUGCUCACAUGUGUCCUUGUGCAUUAGUUGAAGUGGAAUUAGCUUUGUAGAUACUUUUUUGUGUAUGAUAGUUCAAGUGGAAGCAGCUGCUCAUUUUCUGAUUAGUUAACUGUUCAAACUCACGUGUUUAUGUAUAUGUAUUUUUUGCCCAUGGUUUUUAAUAAUGACUUUUUUCUGGCAUAUACCAGGAACAAUGGAUGGCAGCAGUAAGGAAAUGCAGGAAGACCGCCUUCCAGUCAACCCUGAUGCCGAUCCUUCUAAUGUUACUGCAGAUAAUGAAACAGAGGCUCGUAGUACUGCCCCCACAACCACAAUUGGGUACAAGCGUCGAAGAAUGUCAAAAGCGAUCAUUGCUCGUGGCCCCCCGUCCAUCAGAUAUUGAUAGCAACGAGGAUGUAUCUAGAGAUGCUGACAAGGACCCUGAAUUUGACAAAGAUAACGAGCGUGAACCUGACAAAGAUAUUGAGGAUCAUCCAAGAAAAGCAAAGCGCCAAAAGUCUUCAGGAAAUGAGGGUUUUAGGAAUAGAGGAUCGCCUGCAAGGCUGUAUAAACUAAACAAAUCUCUUAUAUCUGACCAAAAGGGUGUCAUCAUUGACAAAGAGUUCGGGGGUUUGUUGGACCUCGCAUCCACUACAAUGGAUGCAGAUCUCAGCCAAUGGAUUAUGAAGCACUACGACCCCGAAAAGUCCCAAAUUGUUAUACCAGAGAGGGGGGAGAUCCUGGUAGAUGCAACGAGCUUUCAUAGAAUAUGGGGGUUGCCAAACAGGGGCAGAAAGGUCUGUUUGGAGAAUCGUCCUGACAUCACAAAGGCCAUUUAUAGCAUCUAGAACAUUACAUCCAAGAAAACUCACCAGCCCUCACAGCAUGGUGUAAGAUGAUUGUAGAUAUGCGCGAAGCUCAUGACGACAAUUUCCUCCGUGCUUGGCUAGCAGUCGCUUUUUCUUGCUUUCUUGCACCAUCAAGAAGUCUAAACAUCUCUCCAAAAAGCUUCCCUGCUGUUAUGGAUGUCAAUGGUAUAACAGAGACAAAUGUUUGUAAGUUUGUUGUUGAUCAGUUAAAGGUAGUGUUCACAGUAGCAGUUCUCAAGAAGAAUGUUGUAUGCUGUUGUGUUAUCCAUCUUGUACUGUUGUAUCUGGACUCACUUGAUGUGGAUGAACCUAUCCCAAGCUUGACACCAAGAGUUUCUGUUUGGAACUCAGAUUUAAUCGCAAAAGUCGUGAAGAAGGAUAAGAAGGGCCCGGGUCAAUACGGAAAACUACGUCUUAAGACCGAGUUUUCCCGAUGUGCGGACGAUAGUUUGUUCGGAAGCAUGGAUCACAUCACAAAAUUUGUUGCAGCAAGAUUACCCGAGUCAUAUAAUAAAGAAAAGCAAAAGAAGGUAUCAAUCAUGGUACAUGAAAUGUGUUCCAAAAUAUCGCACUCAGUUGGAAAGCUUGUGUACAAUAUUGGCAGGAUCGAUGAUAUUGAAGCUGGGACAAGCACGACAGAACCUAGUAAGAUGGGAACAAGCAGGCAACGUUCAAAGAAAAGAAGUAAACAAUUGGGCAGUGACAGCGAAAGCUUAUUAAGUGAAGAAGGCAGCGACAACUUACCUAGUGAAGAAGAGUCAUACAUGUCGGACAUCGAUGAUAAUGACAAAGAUGGAGAUGAAUCUGAUGAAGCACAUGAUGAUGAUGGAGAAAAGAGCGACAACGGCAGAGAUGGGGACUUGGACGACGAUGAUGGUGAUGAAUUGAGGAGGGAAGAUGCUGGGCAUAACCCUAACGAGCUGGAAGAACAAGGUGAGAGGGAGGAAGCACGUAUUGCUGAAAUGGAACAAGAGGAUCAAGCAACCCGUGAUGGCAGCGCUAGCAAGGAUGGGGAAACAUAACCAGUUGACACAGUGACAAGUACAGUAGUGGGCAAAGCACAGCAAACAGUCGAGCAAGAGGGAGAUGUCGAGGAUGAAGAGAAAGAUAGCGAUGAAAAUGAAGAAGAUGAAGUUAGUACAUAAGAUGAUGAGGAUGAAGAAGAAGAAGAUGAUGAUGUGGAAAAAGGCGGUGACAAGGAAGAAGACAAGGAUGGGGAUGGGAAGGGGGAUGGAAAGGAUGAUGAGGAUAGGAGUGGAGGUAAUAGCAGUGGCCACGUCGAUGGUGGUGGGAACAGCAGGAAUGAGGAUGGAGCUGCUGGUUACUUGGACAGUGAUGACGAUGAAGAGUGUACACUGCAGUUUUUGGUUCAAAAGAAGGACAGUAAACCUAAGGAGCUUGAUGAAUUUGGCUCGGUUAAUAUCAGAGACAUAGUGAUGAUGGAGCGGGAACAUUUUUCCCCACGCAUACCAUUGUAUGAAGCAAAAGAAUGCACUGAUGAGGCACCAGCUACAUGGGAAACAAAGAGGGUUUUCAGAAGCUAUUGAUGGGAUUAGAGUUGAAGGAAUUCCCCCCAAUGGACGUGACGGAAAUAUGUCCAAAACACAUGCGCAAGAGGCUGAUGAAAGAAAUGGGUGCAGAACAUAACUUGGGUGGAAAACCAGAAGAAAUUGCAGAGAGGGAACUACCACCCAUCCCACCGAAGAAGAAAAAGACUGUCAGCUUCAUCUUGCAGCCAACAGUAGUGACAACAACAGCAGAGGAGCUACAUGAAAGGCGUUCAAAAAAUGCACAGCAAGUGCAGGUUCCCAAGGAAAGGCAGUCAGCUAUUAAGAAAUCUGGGCAAAUACAACAUCAAAACCAGGCAACUGCUGUACAGAAACAGGCAACUUGUGCUUUUUUGAAGCCCCAGGUGGAAGUAAAUAAAAUAUCAAGCACUACAAGAGCACCAAAAGGAUUCCAAGGUGACAAUGUUACAUCAACUUUCACACAAAGUCUGGCAACUCAGCCCAAGGAGGAAGCAAGUUGCAAAAACUCAGUGCAAAUCUUUCAAUGGGGAACCUAGGCUCCAUCAAACAAGCACUAGUUAGAGUUUCACCACAAACAGGAGCGAACACAGCUAUUCAAAGUUGUAGGCAACCUCUGGUUGAGCUAAAUUGUCAAGCACAAAAGCUCCCUUGCAUUAGUGCGCCGCAAUCGACAAAUGUCCCCAAUGUUGCCAAAGAGCGUAAGAUGAAAGGAGUAGCACAGGGUCCAUUAUUAGAUGCAGGUCUGGGCAAGGAUCAAGAAAACAUUUGCCCCUUGACAUCCACCGCUGUUACAGGUGACACAACUUGCUUUGAUCAUCACUCAUCAAAGUUACCUGAAUCACUGAGCAAGUUGCCUGCAAAGCCAACUUCAAUUGCCCAGAGUGCCCAAACAGUGAGUCCCAAGGAAAAAAACCAUUUUUUGUGAUGGUAACAAAGAAAACCGUCCGCCACUGCAAUUCAAGGGGAGCACAAAGAAUAACCUAGAAAUAAAUGUUCUGGAAAUCAGUGAUCUCAUAGCAAGAUUUGCCCCUCCAAGUAAAAAACCUGUUGAAAGCUCAAGCAGCAUGUCACCCAUUUUCAUUCAAGCACAGAUGGAUCGACCACAGAUUCACCAAAGCAAAAGCGCAUCAUCAAGCAGUUAUGUUGAUGAGUAUUGCCCGGCCCCAUCUUUCUCAAUUGGCUUAGAUGAAAUUUUCAAUCCGAAAACUACAGUUGAGGGUGCGCAGGGAGGUGAUGGGCCAAGCAGUAUCGCAGCACGUGAGUACAUACAAAUUCUCGACGACAGUGAUGAUUUGGAAUUUGUAGCCGGUAAUGAAGCAUGUGAAGUGUUCACACUAGAAAAAACUUCUAACCAAGGAGAAGAAGGAUCAGGUAGCAAGUUUUAUAGCAGCAACAGCUCUGGAGAGCCUGUCCUAAAUAAAUUUGAAAGAAGGAUAAUCAAGCCAACUCCUUGCAUGAGGUCACCAUUCAUACACUACAACGAGAAAAAUUCAUUUAAAUGCAGAGCUGAUGUCAACCGGUUGUAUGCAUCGGCUAUUUUGCAUGGGAGGUUAAAUGAAGAAGAGUCACCUGAUGUAGAUACCAGCCUAAAGGUAAUUGACUAUGGCAAGUACUUUGUAACUGUGAGGGAGUUUGCUAACGCAAUGAAAAUGGAAGGGUUCCUGUUGUCCCAUGUAGUUGAAAUUUGGAUAUAGUCCAUCAUGAUGAACUUGCCACCAGAUUCAAUGAAGGUGGUGAUGCCCUUGAGAUUCUCGAUAAUGUUGCAGCAUAUGUCAUUAGAUGACCAAGAGCUUGCUUCAAGAUUCAACAAAUCCAACCGGCUGGAUCGUAAAGAUAUGGUUUGACUGUGGGGUUUUCGUGCUUACACUCACAAGUGGUUGGGAGGCAAGGACUGUUCCAAGAUUCACCCAUAAUGACAUUCCAAACAUCAGGAAGCAACUAACAAGCAAUUGGGUCAACACCGAUUACAACAAGGCCCCUUGGAAAGACAUCUUGAAUCUGCACUAGAUACAACUGAUUUUCAUGCGUUUCCAAGGCCGAGCGAACCAAGCUUUUUUCAUGGGAACAGGAUGCCUUCUAUUUUCGAAGUGUUUUUAGCAUCGAGAGGAAAAGCUAAUAUUAGAGACUUUCGAGAGUAGCAUUUUAUGCGUCUCAAAAAUUUUAUAUACCAGUACUAAAAACUAGCUGGGUGUGACAUUUUCUUCAUGUUCAGUACUUUGUUAGUAUGCAAUUCGUACCAGCAACUUCAGGACCAUGUUGUGUUUGUGGCCUCUUUUUUCAUUUUUGCUUGUUGAACUAUCUUAACGCGUUGGAGCCCCCAAGGGUUCAUGUGUUUUUCUUGUGUUUCUUCUGUGGAUGAACCCUUCUUUGCAGGAGCAACCUAAUUUUCUUGCCGGGAAGUACAAUUGAUAGGAAACAAUGUUCAGUCAAUCCCCCAAGGUAAUGUUUAGUCAAUUCCCCAAGGCAACCUUUUUUCCUUUUGAUUCUGAACACACAAGUUGCACAUAGUUUUUAAUCAGUACUUUUCAGCAUCUACCAUGAUUUCUCUUUAUUUUGCACCAAAUUUUACCAGUUUU